rnacentral:rRNA from 1 species
CCUACGGGAGGCAGCAGUGAGGAAUAUUGGUCAAUGGGCUUACGCCUGAACCAGCCAAGUCGCGUGAGGGAAGACUGCCCUAUGGGUUGUAAACCUCUUUUGUCAGGGAGCAAUUGGCGCUACGUGUAGCGUUAUCGAGAGUACCUGAAGAAAAAGCAUCGGCUAACUCCGUGCCAGCAGCCGCGGUAAUACGGAGGAUGCGAGCGUUAUCCGGAUUUAUUGGGUUUAAAGGGUGCGUAGGCGGAAUAUCAAGUCAGCGGUAAAAAUUCGGGGCUCAACCCCGUCGUGCCGUUGAAACUGAUGUUCUUGAGUGGGCGAGAAGUAUGCGGAAUGCGUGGUGUAGCGGUGAAAUGCAUAGAUAUCACGCAGAACUCCGAUUGCGAAGGCAGCAUACCGGCGCCCAACUGACGCUGAAGCACGAAAGCGUGGGUAUCGAACAGGAUUAGAUACCCCAGUAGUC